UACGUAGGGGGCGAGCGUUGUCCGGAAUUAUUGGGCGUAAAGAGCGUGUAGGCGGUUCGGUAAGUCUGCCGUGAAAACCUGGGGCUCAACCCCGGGCGUGCGGUGGAUACUGCCGGGCUAGAGGGUGGUAGAGGCGAGUGGAAUUCCCGGUGUAGCGGUGAAAUGCGCAGAUAUCGGGAGGAACACCGGUGGCGAAGGCGGCAUCCUGGACCGAUAUUGACGCUGAGGAGCGAAAGCCAGGGGAGCAAACGGG
rnacentral:rRNA from 1 species